UGACGGAGCAAGACCGCGUGGGGGAGGAAAGCCUUUGGGUUGUAAACCCCUUUUCUCAGGGAAGAAGAAAGUGACGGUACCUGAGGAAUCAGCCUCGGCUAACUCCGUGCCAGCAGCCGCGGUAAUACGGAGGAGGCAAGCGUUAUCCGGAAUGAUUGGGCGUAAAGCGUUCGUAGGUGGCAAUUCAAGUCUGCUGUCAAAGACAGUAGCUCAACUACUGCAAGGCAGUGGAAACUGAAUAGCUAGAGUGCGGUAGGGGCAGAGGGAAUUCCCGGUGUAGCGGUGAAAUGCGUAGAGAUCGGGAAGAACACCGGUGGCGAAAGCGCUCUGCUGGGCCGCAACUGACACUGAGGGACGAAAGCUAGGGGAGCGAAUGGGAUUAGAUACCCCAGUAGUC
rnacentral:rRNA from 1 species